rnacentral:rRNA from 1 species
UACAGAGGUGGCAAGCGUUGUUCGGAAUUACUGGGCGUAAAGGGCGCGUAGGUGGCCUUCUUAGUCAGACGUGAAAUCCCCGGGCUUAACCUGGGAACUGCCUUUGUGACUGCAAGGCUUGAGUGCGGCAGAGGGGGAUGGAAUUCCGCGUGGUAGCAGUGAAAUGCGUAGAUAUGCGGAGGAACACCGAUGGCGAAGGCAAUCCCCUGGGCCGCACUGACGCUCAGUGCACGAAAGCGUGGGGAGCAAACAGGAUUAGAU